rnacentral:rRNA from 1 species
AUUGAACGCUGGCGGCAGGCCUAACACAUGCAAUUCGGGCGAGCGGCGGACGGGUGAGUAAUGUAUGGGGAUCUAGCUUAUGGAGGGGGAUAACUACGGGAAACUGUAGCUAAUACCGCGUACCAUAGGAUGAGCCCAAAUGGGCUUAGGUAGUUGGUGAGGUAAAGGCUCACCAAGCUGACGAUCUCUAGCUGGUCUGAGAGGAUGAUCAGCCAAACUGGGACUGAGACACGGCCCAGACUCCUACGGGAGGCAGCAGUGGGGAAUAUUGCACAAUGGGCGCAAGCCUGAGACAGCCAUGCCGCGUGUAUGAAGAAGGCCUUAGGGUUGUAAAGUACUUUCAGCGGGGAGGCGUUACCCACAGAAGAAGCACCGGCUAAAUCCGUGCCAGCAGCCGCGGUAAUAC